GGUAUAAGUAUUAAAGUAUGAAAUAUGCUACUCUGUUAGAUUGAAAUUGAAGUAAAUCACAUUAUUAUGAGUAUUAUGAAAUACGUAUGUAUGAUCUGUUUGGUUAUGUAUAAGCAUGUGUACUAUCUGUUACAUGAGCAUGCAUGAUAUGAUAAUUCUAAUAUCUAUUAAUCUAUUUUAUCUGAUAUUUUGUUUGUAUCUAGCUAUAAGGCGAGAUUUGUAUUAUGAGGAGGAAGUGUUCUGUGUCAG
rnacentral:lncRNA from 1 species